rnacentral:rRNA from 1 species
GAUGAACGCUGGCGGCGUGCCCAAUACAUGCAAGUCGAGCGAACGGACGAGAAGCUUGCUUUUCUGAUGUUAGCGGCGGACGGGUGAGUAACACGUGGAUAACCUACCUAUAAGACUGGGAUAACUUCGGGAAACCGGAGCUAAUACCGGAUAAUAUUUUGAACCGCAUGGUUCAAAAGUGAAAGACGGUCUUGCUGUCACUUAUAGAUGGAUCCGCGCUGCAUUAGCUAGUUGGUAAGGUAACGGCUUACCAAGGCAACGAUGCAUAGCCGACCUGAGAGGGUGAUCGGCCACACUGGAACUGAGACACGGUCCAGACUCCUACGGGAGGCAGCAGUAGGGAAUCUUCCGCAAUGGGCGAAAGCCUGACGGAGCAACGCCGCGUGAGUGAUGAAGGCCUUCGGAUCGUAAAACUCUGUUAUUAGGGAAGAACAUAUGUGUAAGUAACUGUGCACAUCUUGACGGUACCUAAUCAGAAAGCCACGGCUAACUACGUG